rnacentral:rRNA from 1 species
CCCUUAGAUGUUCUGGGCCGCACGCGCACUACACUGACUGGUGCAACAAGUGUCGCUCCUUGGCCGAUAGGCCUGGGCAAUCUUUGAACGCCAGUCGUGAUGGGGAUAGAUUCUUGCAAUUUUUGAUCUUCAACGAGGAAUUCCUAGUAAACGCGAGUCAUCAACUCGCAUUGAUUACGUCCCUGCCCUUUGUACACACCGCCCGUCGCACCUACCGAUUGAAUGGUCCGGUGAACCCUCCGGAUCGGCCCGCGCCAACGCAAGUUGAGCAAAGGCCGAGAAGUUGGGUAAACCUUACCAUUUAGAGGAAGGUGAAGUCGUAACA